GGGGGACUUAAUUUGGAUUCAUUUUCACAAGAAGAUGUGAAUAGUUAUAAUGGUGUUGAUGAUGAUGGUUUCCAUCAAUUUAAUGAUUGAUCAUUCGAUGCAUGAACUUUGAGUUUGAACUUGAAUAUGGGAAACUUGAAGAGGGGAGACUUAAUUUGUUAUUUUGAUGUUUGAAUUUAGAUUAUGAAUUUAUGUUUUAGUAUUUGGUAUGAAUUAUGUAUUUGGUAUAAGUAUUAUGAAUUUGGACUUUGUAUAAGUAUUAUUAAGUACUUGGUCUUGGUAUGAACAUCAUGCACUUUAAAACUAAAUUUUGUUAAUUUGUC
rnacentral:lncRNA from 1 species